rnacentral:rRNA from 1 species
GCUUGCUCCCUGAUGUUAGCGGCGGACGGGUGAGUAACACGUGGGUAACCUGCCUGUAAGACUGGGAUAACUCCGGGAAACCGGGGCUAAUACCGGAUGGUUGUUUGAACCGCAUGGUUCAAACAUAAAAGGUGGCUUCGGCUACCACUUACAGAUGGACCCGCGGCGCAUUAGCUAGUUGGUGAGGUAACGGCUCACCAAGGCAACGAUGCGUAGCCGACCUGAGAGGGUGAUCGGCCACACUGGGACUGAGACACGGCCCAGACUCCUACGGGAGGCAGCAGUAGGGAAUCUUCCGCAAUGGACGAAAGUCUGACGGAGCAACGCCGCGUGAGUGAUGAAGGUUUUCGGAUCGUAAAGCUCUGUUGUUAGGGAAGAACAAGUACCGUUCGAAUAGGGCGGUACCUUGACGGUACCUAACCAGAAAGCCACGGCUAACUACGUGCCAGCAGCCGCGGUAAUACGUAGGUGGCAAGCGUUGUCCGGAAUUAUUGGGCGUAAAGGGCUCGCAGGCGGUUUCUUAAGUCUGAUG